UACGUAGGGGGCAAGCGUUGUCCGGAAUCAUUGGGCGUAAAGCGCGCGUAGGCGGCCUCACAAGUCCGCUGUGAAAGUCAAAGGCUCAACCUAUGAAAGCCAGUGGAAACUGUGAGGCUAGAGUCCGGAAGAGGCGAGUGGAAUUCCUGGUGUAGCGGUGGAAUGCGCAGAUAUCAGGAGGAACACCAACGGCGAAGGCAGCUCGCUGGGACGGUACUGUCGCUAAGGCGCGAAAGCGUGGGGAGCAAACAGG
rnacentral:misc_RNA from 1 species